AUUGAACGCUGGCGGCAGGCCUAACACAUGCAAGUCGAGCGAGCGGCGGACGGGUGAGUAAUGUAUGGGGACUGCCCGGUAGAGGGGGAUAACUACUGGCAACGGUGGCUAAUACCGCAUACUAUCGGAUAACCCAUAUGGGAUUAGCUAGUAGGUGGGGUAAAGGCUCACCUAGGCGACGAUCUCUAGCUGGUCUGAGAGGAUGAUCAGCAAUACUGGGACUGAGACACGGCACAGACUCCUACGGAGGCAGCAGUGGGGAAGAUUGCACAAUGGGCGCAAGACUGAUGCAGCCAUGCCGCGUGUAUGAAGAAGGCCUUAGGGUUGUAAAGUACGUUCAGCGGGGAGGCGGUACCCGCAGAAGAAGCACCGGCUAACUCCGUGCCAGCCGCCGCGGUAAUUC
rnacentral:rRNA from 1 species